CUUGCCAUCAGAUGUGCCCAGAUGGGAUUAGCUAGUAGGUGGGGUAGUGGCUCACCUAGGCGACGAUCCCUAGCUGGUCUGAGAGGAUGACCAGCCACACUGGAACUGAGACACGGUCCAGACUCCUACGGGAGGCAGCAGUGGGGAAUAUUGCACAAUGGGCGCAAGCCUGAUGCAGCCAUGCCGCGUGUGUGAAGAAGGCCUUCGGGUUGUAAAGCACUUUCAGCGAGGAGGAAGGUGGUGAGCUUAAUACGCUCAUCAAUUGACGUUACUCGCAGAAGAAGCACCGGCUAACUCCGUGCCAGCAGCCGCGGUAAUACGGAGGGUGCAAGCGUUAAUCGGAAUUACUGGGCGUAAAGCGCACGCAGGCGGUUUGUUAAGUCAGAUGUGAAAUCCCCGGGCUCAACCUGGGAACUGCAUUUGAAACUGGCAAGCUAGAGUCUCGUAGAGGGGGGUAGAAUUCCAGGUGUAGCGGUGAAAUGCGUAGAGAUCUGGAGGAAUACCGGUGGCGAAGGCGGCCCCCUGGACGAAGACUGACGCUCAGGUGCGAAAGCGUGGGGAGCAAA
rnacentral:rRNA from 1 species